rnacentral:rRNA from 1 species
AUUGAACGCUGGCGGCAGGCUUAACACAUGCAAGUCGAGCGGGGUGAUGGUGCUUGCACUAUCACUUAGCGGCGGACGGGUGAGUAAUGCUUAGGAAUCUGCCUAUUAGUGGGGGACAACACCUCGAAAGGGAUGCUAAUACCGCAUACGCCCUACGGGAGAAAGCAGGGGAUCACUUGUGACCUUGCGCUAAUAGAUGAGCCUAAGUCGGAUUAGCUAGUUGGUGGGGUAAAGGCCUACCAAGGCGACGAUCUGUAGCGGGUCUGAGAGGAUGAUCCGCCACACUGGGACUGGGACACGGCCCAGACUCCUACGGGAGGCAGCAGUGGGGAAUAUUGGACAAUGGGGGGAACCCUGAUCCAGCCAUGCCGCGUGUGUGAAGAAGGCCUUAUGGUUGUAAAGCACUUUAAGCGAGGAGGAGGCUCUUUUGGUUAAUACCCAAGAUGAGUGGACGUUACUCGCAGAAUAAGCACCGGCUAACUCUGUGCCAGCAGCCGCGGUAA